rnacentral:rRNA from 1 species
ACCAGAAGACGUCAGAGCCAACCCGCAAGGGAGGCAGCCAACCACGGUAGGGUCAGCGACUGGGGUGAAGUCGUAACAAGGUAGCCGUAGGUGAACCUGCAGAAGGAUCA